rnacentral:rRNA from 1 species
AGAUUGAACGCUGGCGGCAGGCCUAACACAUGCAAGUCGAGCGGCAGCACGGGAAGCUUGCUUCCUGGUGGCGAGCGGCGGACGGGUGAGUAAUGCAUAGGAAUCUGCCCGGUAGUGGGGGAUAACCUGGGGAAACCCAGGCUAAUACCGCAUACGUCCUACGGGAGAAAGCAGGGGACCUUCGGGCCUUGCGCUAUCGGAUGAGCCUAUGUCGGAUUAGCUGGUUGGUGAGGUAACGGCUCACCAAGGCGACGAUCCGUAGCUGGUCUGAGAGGAUGAUCAGCCACACGUGGGACUGAGACACGGCCCAGACUCCGUACGGGAGCAG